GUUACAUUGUUCCUAGAGUUAGUUACAGCAUUCGAGUUUCAAAGCAGUCAUCUUCUUUUGCUCUCUUCUGGAGUCCCGGGUGUUUCCCCCAGCAUCUCUAUUAUCCCAAGUUCCUUAUUUUUCCUCGUCCUCCAAACCAAACAGUGUUUAUCAGUCAUAGGAAGGACUUUGCAAUGUUUCUGCCCAAAGCACAGCUUGAUACACAAAAUUUCCUGUGCAAAUAUGGACCAGCUCCAAGACAAUGGAACAAGGCUUCGGGCAGAUCCGAGGAGAGUCAUAAACUUGAAUUGUCCCAGGCUGUGACGAAGGGGACUGAGUCGCCAGCCCUCCCCGGCUCCCCACCUCCUCUGUGGUGAUUGAUCUCCGAAGGGGGCCUCCCUCAGAUGCCAACUUCAAAGCAAGGGUGAAUGAACCUUUAGCAGGGACUACAGAGACUGCCUGGAGGGGAGCUCAUCACUGAACAAGAGAAAUGAUUGUUACUGACUGGUGUAAGGAGAGUUAGAAAUGCUUAAGCAUUAAAAAAAAAAAUGAACACACUGAAUAUACAUAGGAAUUUAAAUUACUUCUUUCUAUUCAUAGACACUCAAAAAAGUGAAUUUUUGUUUAUCAUCCUCAUCAUUAUCAUUCUUAUCAUCAUCAGUUCUCUGGAUGGUUCAGUGGAUAAAGCACUGAGCCUGGACUUCAGAAGACCUGAAUUCAAACCCAGGAUCAGAUACUUACUGGCUGUGUGACUCUGGUGUCUUCAAACAAGAAAGAAAUGAUGUUAGUCCUGAAUGCACAGAAGAAAUUAGGGGAUGAGAUGAAUGGUCCUAAACUAUGUAAAAACCAAAGGCAGAUCCUUGAUGGCAGACCCCAGACAAAGCUACAACCUUGGUAAGAGCUGUGACCUCCAUGAGAGAUAUAAGCCAUGUGAAUAGUGUUGUCUUCCAAGAGGGAGGAGGUAGGAUGAUGCAUGCCAUUGUUAUGGAGGCUGGAGAUGGUGGGUUGUUGAG